CCUACGGGCGGCAGCAGUGAGGAAUAUUGGUCAAUGGACGAGAGUCUGAACCAGCCAAGUCGCGUGAAGGAUGAAUGCCCUAUGGGUUGUAAACUUCUUUUAUAUGGGAAUAAAACGUUCCACGUGUGGGAUUUUGUAUGUACCAUAUGAUUCAGGAUCGGCUAACUCCGUGCCAGCAGCCGCGGUAAUACGGAGGAUCCGAGCGUUAUCCGGAUUUAUUGGGUGUAAAGGGAGCGUAGGUGGAUUGUUAAGUCAGUUGUGAAAGUUUGCGGCUCAACCGUAAAAUUGCAGUUGAAACUGGCAGUCUUGAGUACAGUAGAGGUGGGCGGAAUUCGUGGUGUAGCGGUGAAAUGCUUAGAUAUCACGAAGAACUCCGAUUGCGAAGGCAGUUCACUGGACUGCAACUGACACUGAGGCUCGAAAGUGUGGGUAUCAAACAGGAUUAGAUACCCGAGUAGUC
rnacentral:rRNA from 1 species